rnacentral:rRNA from 1 species
GUGUCAGCCGCCGCGGUAAUACGUAGGGGGCGAGCGUUGUCCGGAUUCAUUGGGCGUAAAGAGCUCGUAGGCGGCUUGGCAAGUCGGAUGUGAAAACUCCAGGCUCAACCUGGAGCCGCCAUUCGAUACUGCUAUGGCUAGAGUCCGGUAGGGGAGUGUGGAAUUCCCGGUGUAGCGGUGAAAUGCGCAGAUAUCGGGAGGAACACCGAUGGCGAAGGCAGCACUCUGGGCCGGUACUGACGCUGAGGAGCGAAAGCGUGGGGAGCGAACAGGAUUAGAAACCCCUGUAGUCC